rnacentral:lncRNA from 1 species
AGUAGUCAUGCUAUACUUGGGGCACUUUGGUGUGUUUUGUUUUGCAGGAGCUUUUGUUCACUCGCAGAUGUCCGACAUACCUGUUUGUUCUCCCAGUAGAGAGUCCUUGGUUUUUGAUUGACGAGAUUUCUUGGGAAAUAAUUUUUAUUCCCCGACAGAUGUUGUUAAAGUUGUGCUUAAUGGAGAAUGUUUAUGUCGAA